GGUCGGCGGUGGCGCGCGCGGCGCGUCCCUUCUCCGUGGCCAGCAGGUCGGCGGCCCUGCGCUCGCGUUGUUCGAGCUCGCGCACCGACCG
rnacentral:tRNA from 1 species